rnacentral:rRNA from 1 species
UACGUAGGGUGCAAGCGUUAAUCGGAAUUACUGGGCGUAAAGCGUGCGCAGGCGGUUUUGUAAGACUGUCGUGAAAUCCCCGGGCUCAACCUGGGAAUGGCGAUGGUGACUGCAAGGCUAGAGUUUGGCAGAGGGGGGUAGAAUUCUACGUGUAGCAGUGAAAUGCAUAGAUAUGUGGAGGAACACCGAUGGCGAAGGCAGCCCCCUGGGUCAAAACUGACGCUCAUGCACGAAAGCGUGGGGAGCAAACAGG